AUUGAACGCUGGCGGCAGGCCUAACACAUGCAAGUCGAACGGAGCGGCGGACGGGUGAGUAAUGCCUAGGAAUCUGCCUGGUAGUGGGGGAUAACGUCCGGCAACGGGCGCUAAUACCGCAUACUAUCAGAUGAGCCUCGGUCGGAUUAGCUUGUAGGUGGGGUAACGGCUCACCUAGGCGACGAUCCCUAGCUGGUCUGAGAGGAUGAUCAGCCACACGGGGAGUGAGACACGGCCCAGACUCCUAUGGGAGGCAGCAGUGGGGAAUAUUGCACAAUGGGCGCAAGCCUGAUGCAGCCAUGCCGCGUGUAUGAAGAAGGCCUUCGGGUUGUAAAGUACUUUCAGUCGGGAGGCGUUACCGACAGAAGAAGCACCGGCUAACUCCGUGCCAGCAGCCGCGGUAAUUC
rnacentral:rRNA from 1 species